GCUGAUGAGCGUGGACCUGAGUCCUUCAGGGUGGGUGUCUGGUCCUGGAGGCUGUGAGCCCCAGGACAUGGGUGGUGGCCUGUGGGGUGUCUUCGUGGCCCUCAAAGUCUGGGCGACACAAGGCCCAGGGUGUGGGGUGGGGAGGCUUCUGGGGGCCCAUGGAGGUGGUGAGAGCAGCUGCUCGAUGACCUGGGGGCUCCCAUUGCUGUUCUUGUCUGAGUGUGUGCACUAUGUCCUCAAGCACAGCCCUCCGCCAGCUUUUAUUAAGCACUGCCAAACUCUGGAGCGUGUCACUGGAGAGGACUGGCUUCCACCCCUGGGGACUUGAGGGUUUCGCAGGCUUGUGCCAUGAACUCUGUGACAUUCUUCAACUCAGGCAGGUACCUGCUCUCCUUUGUGCUUGUCAUUCAGGGGGCUCACGGGUGCCACCAGGCUGAGAGACUGCACUCACAAGAACUCAGGUGCCGGAGGAAGGACCACAUAGGAAUAGUGAGGACAUGUGGUGGGAGUGAGGAGCUGGGGAGAGAGAUUGCACCAGAACCAACUCUGCUGGCCCCUUGAUCUUGGACUUCUAGCCUCCAGAAUGGUGAGAAAUCACUUUCUGUUGUUUAAGCCACCCAGCCUGUGGUAUUCUGUUAUGGCAGCUGACCAGAUUAAAAGAGGGCAAAGUAUGAAAAAUGA